CGGAGAAGGAGCCUGAGAAACGGCUACCACUUCUAAGGAAGGCAGCAGGCGCGCAAAUUACCCAAUUCUGACUCAGGGAGGUAGUGACAAGAAAUAACAAUAAACCGGCUUAUGCCGGUUUAAUUGGAAUGAGUACAAUUUAAACAUCUUAACGAGGAACAAUUGGAGGGCAAGUCUGGUGCCAGCAGCCGCGGUAAUUCCAGCUCCAAUAGCGUAUACUAAAGUUGUUGCAGUUAAAAAGCUCGUAGUUGGAUUUCUGCGGGGACGGAGCGGCCGGUCGCAACUUGCGACUCGAGCUAGCGCUUUCCCCGCAUCCUGCCGCGAACCGUGCUACCAUCAGUUUGGUGGCGCUGGGGAUCGGCUCGAUUACUUUGAGAAAAAUAGAGUGUUCGAAGCAGGCCACACGCCUUGAAUAAGUUAGCAUGGAAUAAUGACUAAGGACUUUGGUUCUUUUCGUUGGUGUUCGGGACUGAAGUAAUGAUUGAUAGGGACAGUUGGGGCGGUCCGUAUUCCAAAGCGAGAGGUGAAAUUCUUAGACCUUCGGAAGACGAACAGCUGCGAAAGCGUUCCGUAAGGAUGUUCCCUUUGAUCAAGAACGAAAGUUGGGGGAUCGAAGACGAUCAGAUACCGUCGUAGUCUCAACUAUAAACUAUACCAGCUAGGGAUCGGCCAACGUUUAAUUUAUCGACUUGGUCGGCACCUUAUGAGAAAUCAAAGCAUCUGGGUUCCGGGGGGAGUAUGGUCGCAAGGCUGAAACUUAAAGGAAUUGACGGAAGGGCGCCACCAGCCGUGGAGCCUGUGGCUUAAUUUGACUCAACACGGGAAAACUUACCAGGUCCAGACAUAGGAAGGAUUGACAGAUUGAUAGCUCUUUCUUGAUUCUGUGGGUGGUGGUGCAUGGCCGUUUUUAGUCGGUGGAUGUGAUCUGUCUGCUUAAUUGCGUUAACGGACGAGACCCCAGCCUGCUAAAUAGCGCGGCCGAGCUUUGCUCGGUGCGAGCUUCUUAGAGGGACCAUGAUGCGCGAUAGCACAAGGAAGUUUGGGGCAACAACAGGUCUGUGAUGCCCUUAGAUGUUCUGGGCCGCACACGGGCUACACUGGCGCCUGCAACGAGCAUAUCAGCUGGCCCGAGAGGGUCUUGGCUAAUCUUUGGAACCGGCGCCGUGCUUGGGAUUGACCAUUGCAAUUGUUGGUCAUGCAACGAGGAAUGCCUUGUAAACGCGAGUCAUCAGCUCGCAUUGAAUACGUCCCUGCCCUUUGUACACACCGCCCGUCGCUCCUACCGAUGAAUGUUCCGAUGAAAUUUUCGGAGAGCACCAGAGAACGGGGCUCCGCCUUGCAGAUCUGGAGGCUCAAAGUCACUUAAAUCUGAACAUUUCGAGGAAGGAGAAGUCGUAACAAGGUAACC
rnacentral:rRNA from 1 species